AUGGAGGAACCCGAAAAGCCAGUUUAUAGAGUAGGGA
rfam:Aequorivita sublithincola DSM 14238, complete genome.